UACGAAGGGAGCUAGCGUUGUUCGGAAUUACUGGGCGUAAAGGGCGCGUAGGCGGUUGAAUAAGUUAGAUGUGAAAGCCUUGGGCUUAACCUGAGAAUUGCAUUUAAGACUGUUUAACUAGAGGACGAGAGAGGAAAGUGGAAUUACGAGUGUAGAGGUGAAAUUCGUAGAUAUUCGUAAGAACACCAGUGGCGAAGGCGGCUUUCUGGCUCGUAUCUGACGCUAAGGCGCGAAAGCGUGGGGAGCAAACAGG
rnacentral:rRNA from 1 species